rnacentral:rRNA from 1 species
GACGAACGCUGGCGGCGUGCUUAACACAUGCAAGUCGAACGGAAAGGCCCUGCUUUUGUGGGGUGCUCGAGUGGCGAACGGGUGAGUAACACGUGAGUAACCUGCCCUUGACUUUGGGAUAACUUCAGGAAACUGGGGCUAAUACCGGAUAGGAGCUCCUGCUGCAUGGUGGGGGUUGGAAGGUUUCGGCGGUUGGGGAUGGACUCGCGGCUUUUCAGCUUGUUGGUGGGGUAGUGGCUUACCAAGGCUUUGAGGGGUAGCCGGCCUGAGAGGGUGACCGGCCACAUUGGGACUGAGAUACGGCCCAGACUCCUACGGGAGGCAGCAGUGGGGAAUAUUGCACAAUGGGCGGAAGCCUGAUGCAGCAACGCCGCGUGCGGGAUGACGGCCUUCGGGUUGUAAACCGCUUUCGCCUGUGACGAAGCGUGAGUGACGGUAAUGGGUAAAGAAGCACCGGCUAACUACGUG